GACUGAUACAAUUACACGUAGUUGCGGUAGGUGUGGCGGUACAAAAAAAGGACUACGCUCCGUCAGACCGUCACAUAAAACACGGUUUUUUGGUCCUCUGUCAUUAAGUGCGGUGAUUUUGUUACGUCCGCGCUGAAAAGACUAAAAUUAAAGGCAAUUAUCAGGAUCACGUGUACUUUAACCACUCGCACGAGUGCGACGGCUUUAUACUAGUUGUCAACCAGGAGGAAUUCUCGCGUACACUAUUAAUUAAAUCGUCAUUUAAACUGGAGUAGCUUCUUGCCCUUGUAGUGCGUAUGCCUUCCCACAUGAAAUGAAAACUACAACCGUGGAAAAAUUUUCAUCUGUAAGAAAAUGGUGGUGAUUGUU